GGCACGGUGGCUUAGUGGUUAGCAUGUUCGAAUCACACCUCCAGGGUCCAGGGCUCGAUUCCCGCCGUGGCC